rnacentral:misc_RNA from 1 species
GAUGAAGAACGUAGUGAAAUGCGAUAAGUAAUGUGAAUUGCAGAAUUCAGUGAAUCAUCGAAUCUUUGAACGCACAUUGCGCCCGCCAGUAUUCUGGCGGGCAUGCCUGUUCGAGCGUCAUUUCAACCAUCAAGCCCCAGGCUUGUGUUGGAGCCCUGCGGCUGCCGCAGCCUCCCAAAACCAGUGGCGGGCUCGCUAUCACACCGAGUGCAGUAGUUUACUCUUCGCUCAGGGCGUGUGGCGGGUGCUAGCCGUAAAACCCCCAACUUCUCAAGGUUGACCUCGGAUCAGGUAGGAAUACCCGCUGAACUUAAGCAUAUCAAUAAGCGGGAGGA